rnacentral:rRNA from 1 species
UACGAAGGGGGCGAAUGAUACUCGGAUUUACUGGGCGUAAAGCGUCCGCAGGCGGUUUAUCAAGUCAGGUGUGAAAUCCCCGUGCUCAACAUGGGAACUGCAUUUGAAACUGAUUCACUAGAAGGCAGAAGGGGUAGGUAGAAUUCUCGGUGUAGAGGUGAAAUUCGUAGAUAUCGAGAGGAAUACUCAUGGCGAAGGCAGCCUACUGGUCUGUUCUUGACACUCAGGGACGAAAGCGUGGGGAGCAAACAGG